rnacentral:miRNA from 1 species
CUGGAUGUUCCUCUGAGUCAUA